rnacentral:rRNA from 1 species
GAUGAACGCUGGCGGCGUGCCUAAUACAUGCAAGUCGAGCGAAUGGAUUAAGAGCUUGCUCUUAUGAAGUUAGCGGCGGACGGGUGAGUAACACGUGGAUAACCUGCCCAUAAGACUAGGAUAACUCCGGGAAACCGGGGCUAAUACCGGAUAACAUUUUGAACCGCAUGGUUCGAAAUUGAAAGGCGGCUUCGGCUGUCACUUAUGGAUGGACCCGCGUCGCAUUAGCUAGUUGGUGAGGUAACGGCUCACAAAGGCAACGAUGCGUAGCCGACCUGAGAGGGUGAUCGGCCACACUGGGACUGAGACACGGCCCAGACUCCUACGGGAGGCAGCAGUAGGGAAUCUUCCGCAAUGGACGAAAGUCUGACGGAGCAACGCCGCGUGAGUGAUGAAGGCUUUCGGGUCGUAAAACUCUGUUGUUAGGGAAGAACAAGUGCUAGUUGAAUAAGCUGGCACCUUGACGGUACCUAACCAGAAAGCCACGGCUAACUACGUGCCAGCCGCCGCCGUAA